rnacentral:tRNA from 1 species
GUCGAAUUAGCAGAAUUAAAAUGUGUGCGGUUUAGGGUCGUGAGGUAUGGUUGACCAUAUUCGGUA